GGGGGCGCACUGGUUUCGACGGGGAUGGGAAGUCGACGUUGCAGGUCGAGGACGCCGUUGGCCUCGUAAAAAAACGGCACCAUCUUAGUUGCCAACAACGACUACGAUUACGCUCUGGCCGCCUAAUAUAGGUAGCCACGUCCGACUCGUUCACGCCUGAUAGGCGGGAAGGGCGAAAAAACAUCAGGCUGGCCGCUGCCGGCGCAUGCCGCGGCAGGGGUGAGACUAAGGUGUGCUGGCCUGUGGGAGAGUUUGGUCAUGGACGACUCCACGGGCGACAUUAAAACAUGACCUGAACCUGGAGACGCGUCGCGCGGAACAUUCUCGGACGGGGGUUCGAUUCCCCCCGCCUCCACCA
rnacentral:tmRNA from 1 species